GACGAACGCUGGCGGCGUGCUUAACACAUGCAAGUCGAACGGAAAGGCCCUGCUUUUGUGGGGUGCUCGAGUGGCGAACGGGUGAGUAACACGCGAGUAACCUGCCCUUGACUUUGGGAUAACUUCAGGAAACUGGGGCUAAUACCGGAUAGGAGCUCCUGCUGCAUGGUGGGGGUUGGAAAGUUUCGGCGGUUGGGGAUGGACUCGCGGCUUAUCAGCUUGUUGGUGGGGUAGUGGCUUACCAAGGCUUUGACGGGUAGCCGGCCUGAGAGGGUGACCGGCCACAUUGGGACGGAGAUACGGCCCAGACUCCUACGGGAGGCAGCAGUGGGGAAUAUUGCACAAUGGGCGGAAGCCUGAUGCAGCAACGCCGCGUGCGGGAUGACGGCCUUCGGGUUGUAAACCGCUUUCGCCUGUGACGAAGCGUGAGUGACGGUAAUGGGUAAAGAAGCACCGGCUAACUACGUG
rnacentral:rRNA from 1 species